ensembl:lncRNA
GGUUGUAAUUUCCUUUGCCUUGUGCUCUGCAGAGGCGAAUGUAUUACUGUACUUUGGUGUCAUAUAUCCUGUCAGUUAAGGUAGGCAGCAUGUGGGAGGUGAGUUGUAGGUUGUAGGGGUGGAGUGAGUAGACGUUUACCUUUGUAUCCAUUAUACUACUGUAUGUGACUGCAGGCGUCACACUGAGGUUUUACAUUUACUGAGAUACAUAAAAUAUCAGGAGUAUUUCACCACACCAAAUCAUAUUUUUGGGACCUUGUGACAAUGAAUCUUUUUAACCAGUUUCCUUAUCCCUCCUGCCAGCAUUACACGUCUGAACUCACAACAUGGGUUAUAAACUCAACCUUCCUGUGUUUAAAAAGAAAACCAGUGCAGCGAUGCCCAGAGGUAAGCAGCAGCACAGCAUGGUAAAGAUGGAGUAGCCCAGGUAAUCUGGCUCUGGAUACACCAGUGGAGUGGCGGUCACAUAAACUGCAGGCUGCACGGUGACCACAGGAUGGCCUGGAUAUGCUCCUUGGCCGUACGGCCCUGGAGCUCCAUACUGUUGGCCUUGAUAGCCAGAAGUGCUCUGGAAGUUCCCUGGAGGAGGCUGUCUAAGAUGGUCCUGGUAUGGUUGCGGCCCAGGCUGCAAUAGCUUGGAUUUCUCUGAUGUAUUCCAGUCUUCUUGGGGCUCCAUUGUUCUGUUUGAUUAACCUUUUGUCUUAUCUUUUUUUGUGAUUUACAGAGAUGGCACACCUUUGUGGACUCUGUAGCCCAGAGGAAUCAAGUUCUUCCAGUCAUAGACCUUAGAUCUUUAUGGUCACGUGGAGAUUUAUAGAAAUCGAACGGGAGGUGAAUUGGAGGUGGAGCAGCAAGAAGUGACAGCAAGUGUGACAGAUUCAGUUCCCUUGUCCACACAGGAACGUACAUACAUAAUAUUUACAUAGUAUUGACUGCAGUUGCCACUCUCCAGAAUUUAUCAGGUUUAAUAAAAAUUAAAGUCUUUUUGAGGUCUUUGUGGAUUUUUUAAUUUAU